GAUGUCUUAGGGAACAAAUUUAGUAUAUUAAGAUCACCAGGAUCUGUUGUUUUCUGGAAUGGAAAUUGGCCUAUUCCAGGAGAGUGAAUCCCAAAGGUGGCUGCAUUGUCCAUGGGCUUCUCUGUGAAAGAAGACCUUUCUUAGCCAGCCCUUGAAGUAGGUAACCUACUCCACCAUCCCCAGGCUGCUGUGAUGGUGAUGGUGGAAGCAGUGGGCAAGCUUGCUCUCCCCCUAGGCAGUGUCAUUUCAUACCCUUUGGAGAAUGCAGUUCCUUUUAGUCUUGACAGCGUGGCAAAUUCCGUUCACUCCUUAUUUUUGAAGAAACUCUGGCGGUUUUGCAGUUGGCUCCCAGUAAGGAAAGAGUGUACAUGGUGGGGAAAGCAAACUCGGUUUUUAAAGAUCUCUCAGUAAUGCUCAGACAGCUCCACGAUCGACUGUUUCAAGAAACCUCUGCUCUCACUUCACUUCCCCUCAAUUCUCUGAGUAGGAACAAUGAAGUUGAUCUCCUUUUUCUUUCUGAACUGCAAGUGUUGCAUGAUAUUUCAGGUUUGUUGUCCCAACGUAAGCAUCUAGCCAAGGAUCAUUCUCCUGAUUUAUACUCACCGGAGCUACCAGGUCUGGAUGAAAUUGGGAAAAAUUAUGGGCAUGACUCGGAACAAUUCAGAGAUGCCUCUAAGAUCCUCGUUGAUGCUCUGCAAAAGUGUGCAGAUGGCAUGUACAGUCUCUAUGGUGGGAAUGCAGUGGUAGAGUUAGGGAUUGUCAGAUCAUUCGACACAUCCUUUAUGAGGAAGCCAAAGACUAUCCUUAAGACAAAACAAGUGAAGGACCCCUCAUCUCCCUAUAACCUUGCCUAUAAAUAUAAUUUCGAAUGUCCAGUGGUUUUCAACCUGGUACUUUGGACAAUGAUCAGCUUGGCCUUGACUCUGAUUGUCAACUGUUACAAUAUUUGGAAUAUGGAUCCUGGAAAUGAUAGCAUCAUUUAUAGGAUGACAAACCAGAAGAUUUAAAUAGAUUGAACUUUCCUUACGCCAAACUUGGAAAGAAAGAGGGUUUUGAAUUGGCUGUUUCAUCGAAAUAAAUCUUUUAGUGUAGUUUAAACUAUAUAAUACACUUUAAAUUUAU